CGGGGGCAAGAGGUUCGACUCGAGCGAAGCGAGAGAACGUUGCGUCAGCAACGGCCCGCAGGGCGAGCCACGCAGUGGCGAGUCAUCCUCUAUCACCGACCA
rnacentral:sRNA from 1 species